rnacentral:lncRNA from 1 species
CCAUCCCCAUAGGACCGUAGGCCCAAAUAAACGCUUUCUUCCAUAAGUUGCCUUGGAUCACGGUGUUUUAUCACAGCAACGGAAAAGAAGCUAGUGCAGAAGACAGCUAUGGAGUAAGCACGUGUCUCCAAAAAAGACGUUUAGAAACACGACUGUGAAAUUAACUCAGGUAGAGAAAGAGGACCCGAAUUCAGUUCCCAUCGGCUCACAACAGCCGAUAACUGCAGCUCCUACAGCCUCUUCUGGACCUGGUGGGCACUUGCACUGUGGUUAUUCGGCUGUUCAGCGGAAGAUUAGAUUCUCCAGCCUGGCUUUGGUGUGAUGCAGGUCUUCCUGCCUGUGUGGCAAGCACUUUACCAGUCAUCUGAUCACAGCGGCAAGCGAGAAGCACAACACAGCCUCUGAUAAAGAAGUCUCAGCUCAUUAGGGUUCUGCAGGCUCCAGUGUGAUCCUUCCAUCUGGCUCUGGUGUGAGCGGGAAUGCGGAGUGGCCUGUGGUAGGCAUGGAAACGAGGCUGCGAGAGCAUCUGCC